CUCUCCAUCUCAGGGAGAAGCUUCUGCCUUUCUUGGCUAUUGGGGGUUGGAGCUUGUUCCCUUACUGUCCCAGUUUAAAGAAUUUUUCCCGUUAUUAUGCUAAGGAAGCCUGCCGGGUUACGCCCAGGUUCUUUUUAGGACCUGAGACAAAGGGGUAGGUGGGGGCUGGCUUCCGGGGUUUUUCACUCUCGUCGGCGGGGUUUGAGGGAGGUCAGGACUGCUUGUCUCCAGCCCACGCAGUCCGAACGCCGCGGAGCGAGGUUCUCCGCGGUGGGACGUUGCCCUGCAUCUCUUCAGCAUCCAGCCUACUGCCUCUAAGACCACAGCUGACCACCAAAAACCCAAACACAGCGCGGACCCUGCCCCGCCUUCCACCACCGGGACCGAGAGCGGGGAGAGUGUGGCUGCGGCUGGAAGAAGGACUGGAACUGAGUUAUUUGUUCUGUUUUGUUUUUAAUUUUCAUAGCUGCUGUUGUUUCUGUUUGUCCAGUUAGAUAUAUUAGUAAAUAGCUGUUUAUCCUACGCCCUUA